UUCACGCGAUGAUCGAUAAAUUGGCUGAACAUUUGCAGAGCUCACGCCGAUGAACAACUUGCUAUUGCUAAGGAGAUUGGUAGACGACUUCGUAUGGGGCAAACACGCACCCUUCUUCUUUACUUGGUGGCGACAAGGAUGCAUCUAUAGCAGUUCACCUUAUUUAAGAGCUGAUUGAGGAAACUGAUGAAUUUACUGGACUUUUCCUAGAACUUAAGUAUGAGAUGUGAAGGAUUUACAAGAAAGAAUGUGCAUUUGUAGAAAGAUAGGUGAUGGUGUGAAUGAUGCACCUGUUUUUAAAAAAAAAAAAAAAGCUAAAAGCACACUUUGGUAAUUGAUGUUGCUUAGCUAUAGAUGAUGAAAUCGUGUAGCAGACUACAUUUGUUACCAAUUGCGAAUCUGCUGGAGAGAGCCACAUGUAUUUAUUUU
rnacentral:lncRNA from 1 species